rnacentral:rRNA from 1 species
GUGGGGAAUCUUGCGCAAUGGGCGAAAGCCUGACGCAGCAACGCCGCGUGCGGGAUGAAGGCCUUCGGGUUGUAAACCGCUUUCAGCAGGGACGAAAAUGACGGUACCUGCAGAAGAAGCUCCGGCUAACUACGUUCCAGCAGCCGCGGUAAUACGUAGGGAGCAAGCGUUGUCCGGAUUUAUUGGGCGUAAAGAGCUCGUAGGCGGUUUCGUAAGUCGAGUGUGAAAAAUCUGGGCUUAACCCAGUGGAGCACUCGAUACUGCGAUGACUUGAGUCUGGUAGAGGAGUGUGGAAUUCCUGGUGUAGCGGUGAAAUGCGCAGAUAUCAGGAGGAACACCAACGGCGAAGGCAGCACUCUGGGCCAGUACUGACGCUGAGGAGCGAAAGCGUGGGGAGCAAACAGGAUUAGAAACCCUGGUAGUCC